UGUCUCCUCCAUCUCCUCAAAGGAUGGAUUAGCCCCAGGCCUCACGGCCCGGGGCUUUUUUU
rfam:Acidovorax sp. RAC01, complete genome.